GACGAACGCUGGCGGCGUGCUUAACACAUGCAAGUCGAACGAUGAAGAAGAGAAUUGAAGCUUCGGCAGAAAUUCAUUUCGGAUUAGUGGCAGACGGGUGAGUAACGCGUGAGCAACCUACCUCUUACAAAGGGAUAGCCUCGGGAAACCGGGAUUAAUACCAUAUAACAUUGCGACGAAGCAUUUCGAUGCAAUCAAAGCUACGGCGGUAAGAGAUGGGCUCGCGUCCCAUUAACCAGAUGGUGAGGUAACGGCUCACCAUAGUAACGAUGGGUAACCGGCCUGAGAGGGUGAACGGUCACACUGGAACUGAGACACGGUCCAGACUCCUACGGGAGGCAGCAGUGGGGAAUAUUGCACAAUGGAGGGAACUCUGAUGCAGCGACGCCGCGUGAGUGAUGAAGGAAUUCGUUUCGUAAAACUCUGUUCUAUGGGAAGAAAAGGACUGUACCAUAGGAGAAAGCUCCGGCUAAAUACGUG
rnacentral:rRNA from 1 species